UACGCUCCAAUAAGAGAUGGAGCCUACAACUGAGGCCCCGCCUACAACUCUGGCUUCAGCUUCUGUUCUAGCUCAGGCGUACGGGUUACCGCCCACCCAGGUUCUUCCUCACCGCUUUUAGUUCCUGGAUCUUCUCCCGGCCGUAAUGGCGGCAGGUCUGGCGGAUGCGCCGGCCAAAGGCGUCGCAGGAGUUGAGGGGGUCGCUUACCGGUCUGCAGAAGGAGACUUCUUCUCAUGCUCUAAACCCAGUUGUCACAUCUAUGAAGACUUUGCUGGAUAACCCUCAAGAUGUUCUUUACUCUCUUUCUUCACUAUUAGUUUACCGUGGGUAUGUGAAUAACAUUUUUGUGCUUAUCACACUCAACAAAUAUUGGAUGAUAUUAAAAUUUGUCUAGAAAAAAUGCCAUCAUUUUUGAGAGGUGAGAACUAGAAUUGUGCCUUUCAUAUGGCUGUACAUGUACAGGGACUAGAAUAAAACCUGGAUCAUGA